rnacentral:rRNA from 1 species
AGGUGUGGAAGCGCAGUAAUGCGUUAAGCUAACUGAUACUAAUUGCCCGUAAGGCUUGAUCCUAUAACAC